AUGCUCACUUAGGCAGCACAUAUAAUAAAAUUGGAAUGAUACAGAGAUUAACUUGGACCCUGCGCAAGGAUGAUACACAAAUUUCCUAAAUAAGAAAAACAAAACU